UACGAAGGGGGCUAGCGUUGUUCGGAAUCACUGGGCGUAAAGGGCGCGUAGGUGGCCCGGUCAGUCAGUGGUGAAAGCGCGGGGCUCAACUCCGCGUCGGCCAUUGAUACUGCGGGGCUGGAGCACUGUAGAGGCAGGCGGAAUUCCGGGUGUAGCGGUGGAAUGCGUAGAGAUCCGGAAGAACACCGGUGGCGAAGGCGGCCUGCUGGGCAGUUGCUGACACUGAGGCGCGACAGCGUGGGGAGCAAACAGG
rnacentral:rRNA from 1 species